rnacentral:ncRNA from 1 species
GUUCAAAUGAGGAAAGGAUUACGGUGGAUACCUAGGCACCCAGAGAUGAGGAAGGGAGUGGUAAGCGGUGAAAUGCUUCGGGGAGUUGAAAAUGAGCAUAGAUCCAGAGAUUCCCGAAUAGGUUAACCUUUUUAACUGCUACUUAAUCCAUGGGAAGGAAAGAGACAACCUGGCGAACUGAAACAUCUUAGUAGCCAGAGGAAUAGAAAGCAAAAGUGAUUCUCGUAGUAGCAGCGAGUGAAAUGGGAGCAGCCUAAACCGUGAAAAUGGGGUUGUGGGAGAGCACAAUAUAAGCUCUGUGCUACUAGGCGAAGCAGUUGAGUCAUGCACCCUAGAUGGUGAGAGUCCAAUAGCCAAAAGAAUCAUUGGGUUACGCUCUAACCUGAGUAGCAUGGGGCACAUGGAAUCCCAUGUGAAUCAACAAGGACCACCUUGCAAGGCUAAAUACUCCCAGGUGAACGAUAGCGAAGUAAUACCGUGAGGGAAAGGUGAAAAGAACCCCCAUCGAGGAGUGAAAUAGAACAUGAAACUGUAAGCUCCCAAGUAGUGGGAGGAAAAUGAUAUCUCUGACCACAUUCCUUUUGAAGAAUUAGCCGACGACUUAUAGGAAGUGGCUUGGUUAAGGGAACCCACCGGAGCCGUAGCGAGAGCGAGUCUUCAUGGGGAAAUUGUCACUGCUUAUGGACCCGAACCUAGGUGAUCUAUCCAUGACCAGGAUGAAGCUUGGGUGAAACUAAGUGGAGGUCUGAACCGACUGAUGUUGAAAAAUCAAUGAAUGAGUCGUGGUUAGGGGUGAAAUUCCACUCGAACCCAGAGCUAGUUGGUUCUCCCAGAAAUGCGUUGAGGCACAACAGUUGACUGGACCAUCUAGGGGUAAAGCACUAUUUCGAUAUGGGCUGCGAGAGUGGUACCAAAUCGAGGCAAACUCUGAAUACUAGAUUGCCCGAAUAAAAGGGGUAAAGGUCAUCCAGUGAGACAAUGGUGGAUAAGAUUCAUCGUCGAGAGGGAAACAACCCAAAUCAUCAAUUAAGGCCCCUAAAUGACUGCUCAGUGAUGAAGGAAGUAUGAGUGAAAAGACAGCGAGGAGGUUUUCCUAGAAGCAACCAACCUUGAAAGAGUGUGCAAUAUCUCACUGAUCGAGCGCUCUUGCACCAAAGAUGAAUGGGACUAAGCGAUCUUCUGAAGCCGUGGGAUGUAAAAAUACAUUGGUAUGGGAGCAUUCCGCCUUAGAGAGAAGCACCAGCGCAAGCAGGUGUGGACAAAGCGGAAGCAAGAAUGUCGGCUUGAGUAACGCAAACAUUGGUGAGAAUCUGAUGCCCCGAAAACCUAAGGGUUCCUCCACAAGGUUCAUCCACGGAGGGUGAGUCAGGGCCUAAGAUCAGGCUGAAAGGCGUAGUCGAUGGACAAUAGGUUAAUAUUCUUGUACUACCCCUUUUUGGUCCUGAGGGACGGAGGAGGCUAGGUUAGCCGAAAGAUGGUUAUUGGUUCAAGGACGUAAGGUGACCCUCUAUACAUUGAUUCAAAGGUAAAAGAAGAAUCAAAUAUAGGUGUGUACAAGGUGAGGCUGGGGGUGGAUAUUCCUCAUCAUCUACUCUAGCACACAAAAAUCCAAGAUGGCUUAUCCAAACAUUAUAGGAUGCACAAAAUCAUGUAGGAGCGCCCAUAUCAUCAAUGAGGGUGAGUACACCUCCUAGGAGAUAUGUUAACCAUAUUGUAUUAGAUUCUUCCAUUUGUGAUCUUUACAAUUGUUUUGAGGAGGUGAUGUGUGAUACUUUGUUGGAUGGGUGUGAUGUUUGGGGGGUAGUUCCUUUCUAGGAGCCAGUGGUUGAUUUCGAGAUUGCAACGUGUUCAAAUUUACAAAAGGAAAGUUUGUUUGAGUUGCAAAGGGAGAAAAAUGAUGUUGGUGAAAACACUUUCCUCAUAAAGAGGGUGUGUUUUCUUUCGAGGUUACUCUAAAAUUGUUUGWUUGAGUUGCAAAGGRAGMAWAAWGAUGUUGGUGAAAACACUUUCCUCAUAAAGAGGGWGUGUUUUCUUUCGAGGUUACUCYRAAAUUGUUUGAUUGAGUUGCAAAGUAAGCAUAAAGAUGUUGGUGAAAACACUUUCCUCAUAAAGAGGGAGUGUUUUCUUUUGAGGUUACUCCAAAAUUAAGUUACACCAUACUUAAGGGUGCUUCAUGUGAUGUGGGGUGCAUGGUGUAUUGAUAACCCUUAGUUGACGUGAUGGACAUACCCAUUGGAGUUAGCUUUCCCAUUGAUUGUAAGAUCUUGUCUUGAUGCAUAUGUGGCAUUCUUCCUUGGAGCAUUGGAGACCUACAUGGCUAGUGGAUUUCUUCAUGAGACAAAAAUGGAGGUCGAUUGCUUCCUUGGGAUGAUGGUUUUCCUUGGAGGAGGAUAAUUGGGCAUCUUGGAGGAGGGAACUGAACCCUAGAUGGCAUGGGGACACUUGGUUUCUUACAUGGAGACUUGGCCUUGACUUGAGGACACUUGGGUUGAAAACCAAUCAUGUAAGUGGCAUUGUCCCAUAGGUAUACAUGGCCUAAGAGGGAGUGUUGGAGAAUUGGAGACCUUUGGAGGAGGAGUGUUACACACACCUCGUGGAGCCUUCAACGUUCAAUCCUUGUUUGUUAUAUGUGCUUCCCUUGGAGCUUGGCAUGUGUGAGUUGGAUUUGGAGUGCUCCACAUGUGGGGAUAUUUAGUAAUUACAUAGAUUUUUUGUUGUGGACUUGAUCAACUUUAUGAUUUUUUCCUUCCUUGACUUUCAUAUAAAUAAAUUGAGAAGGUAUUUUCAUCACUUGUACUUCUUCACUCAUAGACUCACAUGCUUGCAUUAGAGAUGUGAGACUAGGGUGAACUUGUCUUCUUAUACUAUUCUUCACGUGUAUUUGCUUUAUGUUUGAAUCCUCCUUAGAGUUUCUUUUCAUAAGUAGUAUUCACUUUUCUUCUCUGCAUUACUUCUCUAAUUCUAACAAAAGAACAACAAAAAAAAAAUCUAAAUAGAGGAAGGCCAUCUCUUUAGUUGAUAAAAUUAGGGAAAGUAAGAAAUAUGGAGAAAA